GCAGCUAGGUGUCCAGGAGCACAACACUCCCAUCAUCAAAAGCCCGAGUUUAUAAUCAUACAAGGUGCCACCAACCUCCUGUGGACUGACAUGACAUCCUCUGCACGUCACCAGACAAAGACAGUAGAGUGGUGAAAUGCCAUCCAACAGAAUAACAGCAGAGUUCUCUGAAUGGGCCAGUGAUGAGGAGUUGAGUCGAAACAACACAUCAUCCUUUGUAAAUUGUGCAAUGCUAAACCCAACUUUUUGAACUAAUUUAUUUCACUCCACUCACUGAACUGACUGUAUCUUAC